CCUACGGGAGGCACCAGUGGGGAAUAUUGCACAAUGGGCGCAAGCCUGAUGCAGCCAUGCCGCGUGUAUGAAGAAGGCCUUCGGGUUGUAAAGUACUUUCAGCGAGGAGGAAGGCAUUAAGGUUAAUAACCUUAGUGAUUGACGUUACUCGCAGAAGAAGCACCGGCUAACCCCGUGCCAGCAGCCGCGGUAAUACGGAGGGUGCAAGCGUUAAUCGGAAUUACUGGGCGUAAAGCGCACGCAGGCGGUCUGUCAAGCCGGAUGUGAAAUCCCCGGGCCCAACCUGGGAACUGCAUUCGAAACUGGCAGGCUAGAGUCUUGUAGAGGGGGGUAGAAUUCCAGGUGUAGCGGUGAAAUGCGUAGAGAUCUGGAGGAAUACCGGUGGCGAAGGCGGCCCCCUGGACAAAGGCUGACGCUCAGGUGCGAAAGCGUGGGGAGCAAACAGGAUUAGAUACCCGCGUAGUC
rnacentral:rRNA from 1 species